AUACGCUCUGUUUGUAUGGGUGAGAAACAAGUUGGCUACAGCUGAGAGUGCCGAUUUGGAAAUGGUUCAGAAUGAAGACCGGACGACCAGACUCGACUAACAAAACCUUGAAGAUCCAACCAAGGGGGAGAUUGAACUAAUCUGGCUUCGGAGAAUCCCAUCGCCGCCGAGGGCGAUAGAAAUGGGAGGACACCUGAUCCGCCACCAUCUCCUCCUCCCUCUGAUCAUUUCCUCGUUUCUUCUGUCUCUGAGAAGGCUUUCGCCGAUCCCGGCGCCUAUUCGAGCAGCGGCAGGACUUCCGGCUCGAGAGUGGAGUGGCAGACCCUCAUCAAGGGACAUUUCUCGUCUCAGAUUCGCCUCCACCCCCAGAUCCUUCUCGUGGUCACUGUCCCUUGGUUUGAUGAAGCACGAACAUUAAUGAAGGAAGUCUCAUACUUGGUGGCUAAUGACGAGGAACUUAAAUUUCUAAAACUAAUGGUUAUUAAUAGGAGUUCUCAGAAGAUGCUAGCUGACAUCCUCGGUGCUAAAGAUUAGAUAACAAUAUACUACUAUCAUAAUUCAACGUCACACAAGUAUCAUGGGAGACCUAGCACACAAGAUAAAGCUGUUCUUCUCCUUGAGUUUUGUGGAUGGUCAGCCUAACAGUUGGGCAAAAAGCACAAUGGAAAUUCUGGGACUCCCAUGCCCUCAUGCAAUUAUUCAGAGAAUGGGUUUCCAUCUUGAUCUCUUGCCCUAUUGAUGGCUCAUUUCAGGUCUUCUUACUUUACGUAAGCUGAAAGUUAUAAAUCCAACUGACCACCAGUUAGCACUGACAUCUUGCUGUGGAAAUAUGCUAAAUGCCAGUGACAAUUAACAUAAUUGGAUCAAUUGCAAUGUAACUGCAUAAUUGAUAAAGUGCUGUGUACUUUCGGCUUUCUGUUUUCUUUACUGCAUAGGGUCUUAGUAUUCUUG